rnacentral:lncRNA from 1 species
UUUGAGGUAUGUUCUUCAGUGCCUAGUUUGUUGAGGGUUUUUAUCAUGAAGGGAUGUUGGAUUUUAUCAAAGGCUUUUUCGCAUCUAUUGAGAUAAUCACAUGGUUUUUGUGUUUAAUUCUGUUUGUGUGGAGAAUCACAUUUAUUGAUUUGCGUAUGUUGAACCCUAUAUAUAUGUUUUUUGACUGGCUUAUUUCAUUCAGAAUGUCCUCACAUUUCAUCCAUGUUGUAGCAUAUGCCAGAAUUUCCUUCCAUUUUAAGGCUGAAUAGUAUUCCAUUGUAUGUAUAUACCACAUUGUGCUGAUCCAUUGUCUGUUGGACUCUUGGGUUGCUUCCAUGUUUUAAUUAUUGUGAAUAAUAUGCCGUGAACAUGGGUGUUCAAAUAUCUCUUCAAAACCCUGCAUUUAAUUCUUAUGAAAAUAUAGCCGGAAGUGGAAUUGUUGGAUCAUAUGGUAAUUUCAUUUUUAAUUUUUUGAGGAACUGCUAUACCAGUUUCCACAGUGGCUAUCCCAGUUUACAUGCCCGCCCACAGUGCGCAGGAGUUUCAGUUUCUCCACAUCCUCUUUAGCGUUUGUUAUUUUCUGUUUUUUUUUCAGCAGUAGCCAUCCUAAUGGAUAUGGGUUGGUUCCUGUUUUCUAUUUGGAACUUUAAAAAAAAUUAAAGCAGGUAAUCGGUUCUUUCUUUUGGUAAUCAUUUCUGAGUUAGAGUAGGUUAAGCCCAGGUGGGGCACGGUAGCUCAUGCCUGUCCCAACACUUUGGGAGGCUGAGGAUCACUUGAGGACAGGAGUUUGAAACCAGCCUGGGCAACAUAGCAAGACCCCUGACUACAAAAAAAAAAAAAAAAAAAGAACAGCUGCCCAUGAUGUUUUUCCUUUGACCUUGGCUGCUAAUUUUCCACCUUGUGGAUGAUCCAAUUAAACUUAAGUUCAGGGAUUUCAGCUUCAUGUUUUCAGUGUAAUAAUUAGUUUUAUGGCUAUAUCUGUUAAAUUUGAAAUUUUUUUUCACAACUUCUGGUUUCAUUUCAUUGUUUAGUUUUUUUUUCAGCCAGCUAUUAAGAAAAAAGCAAUCUAUAUUCACACUAAUAUGAGACUAAUGACCCUUUAACCCUCAGAAUAAUAUACAUUUUAAAAUAAUAAGCCAAUUCUCUUAAUUGGUAGAAUUUCAUCUGAACAAAAUGAGUUGUUAAUUUCGAGAAUGUGGCGAAAAUAUUUGAAGUCAGGCUUAUUAAUAUAAGCAAGCUGUUUCUGCUUUAGUGCUUAUUUCCGGGAUUGGGUCUCUUGAGGCUUCCUGCUUUUCUCCUGAACCUGUAGGUUCUCUAAAUACUACUGAUAACUUGCUGAAUAUCUUAAAUCAUUGAAUUAGAAAGCUUUGUCUCAAGUUUAAUAAUUUGCCUGAGGUCACACAGCUGGUUAAUGGUUAACAUACUUCUCUGAUAAAGGUCACUAGAGGUUCUUAUGAAGAUACUUUUAGGUGGCGUAACAAAUGUGUUUAUGCAUAUUCAAGACACUCUUGUAUCCACAGGUUGCACUGCUGUGAUCCAUCCUCAUCUCCUAAAGAUGCAUCCUGACUUAUCUCCACACUUGCACACUGAAGAAUGCAACGUCUUGAUUAACUUGCUUAAGGAAUGUCACAAAAAUCACAACAUUCUGAAAUUUUUUGGUUAUUGUAAUGAUGUUGAUCGGGAGUUGAGAAAAUGCCUGAAGAAUGAGUACGUAGAAAACAGGACCAAGAGCAGGGAGCAUGGCAUUGCAAUGCGAAAGAAACUUUUUAAUCCUCCAGAGGAAUCCGAAAAAUAAAUUGUAUUUUCACUCGAUGCCUUGGCUGAGAGAAGACCUAAAGACUCUGGGUUGAUACCUGAAAGAAUCCUGUCUUAUUUGGUCUCCAUAAUCCUUUGAAUGGAAAGUGACCUGUGAGAGAUUGAACCAUGGAGAAAUAUGAAAACCCUGGAUUCUGAGUAUUUGUUGGGCAGGGCGUUUAGUACUGUCUCCCCUUUACCAGCAAACCUGACUUCACCAUGUUUAUUCCCUUUGCCUACAACCAGUUAAUAUCUGAGUAACUUAUCUCCUUCAAUAAAAUAAUUUAAAUAAU